UGCGGAAGGAUCAUUAUUGAAAUUAUAGGUGAGGGUUGUAGCUGGCCUCUCGGGGCAUGUGCACGCCCGAGCCCUUAAUCCACACACACCUGUGAACCUAUUGUAAGGGCCCUUAAAAAAGGCCUUUACGUCUUAUCAUCAACCCAUCGUAUGUCUCAUAGAAUGUAAAUAUAUGUCCUCGCCUUAAAAAGCGUUGAUAAACUUAUACAACUUUCAACAACGGAUCUCUUGGCUCUCGCAUCGAUGAAGAACGCAGCGAAAUGCGAUAAGUAAUGUGAAUUGCAGAUUUUCAGUGAAUCAUCGAAUCUUUGAACGCACCUUGCGCUCCUUGGUAUUCCGAGGAGCAUGCCUGUUUGAGUGUCAUUAAAUUCUCAACUCCGAUCGAUUUGUUUCGACUUCGGAGCUUGGAUUUGGAGCGUGCUGGCGUCGGUCGGCUCCUCUUAAAUGCAUCAGCGGAAUCUAACGUUUCGGAUGUCAGUGUGAUAAUCAUGUUGCGCUGUCUGUCUGAUCCGAAAGCCCGCUCAC
rnacentral:rRNA from 1 species